CCCCGCUCCCACGUGACGCUUUCUUUUCCCCCCAGGUCCCACGUGAGGCUUGCUUUCUUCCCCCCAGCCUGAGCUCCCACGUGCCGCCGCCUCCUCUCCGCCCCACUCCCCUCGACCCCGCGGCGCCUGAACCGUGGCCUCCCGCUCCCCGGCCGUGGCCAUGAGUCUGGAGGCCAUCCGUUAUCGGCGCGGCUCCCUGCACAUCCUGGACCAGCUGCUGCUACCUCAGCAGAGCCACUACGAGCCCGUGACCUCGGUUCGCCAAGGCUGGGAGGUCAUUCGGGCCAUGAAGGUCCGGGGGGCUCCGGCCAUCGCCAUCGUGGGCUGCCUGAGCCUGGCGGUCGAGCUGCGGGCCGGGGGCGGCGGCCCGGGCCUCCAGGCCUUGGUGGCCUUCGUGCAGGAGUCACUCCGCUAUCUGGUCACCGCCCGCCCCACGGCAGUCAACAUGGCGCGGGCUGCCCGGGAGCUGUCAGACUUCGCCGAGCGGGAGGCCGGACGUCACGGGGCCACCGAAGACAGCGUCCGAGAGAGCGUGAUCCGCUGGGCUGAGAACAUGCUGGAGAAGGACGUCGGCGACAACCGGAAAAUUGGCGACCACGGAGCCCGGCACAUCUUGGAGAGGGCAGCGCCCACAGGGGGCAAAGUAACGGUUCUGACCCACUGUAACACGGGUUCACUGGCCACUGCCGGCUACGGCACCGCCCUGGGGUUCUUCCUGACUCCUCGGUCGGAGACGUGGUCUGACUCACCAGCGGGACUGCCCCGGCCUGGUGCUUUCCUGUUCUGCAAGAUCUCCGGGGUCGAUAAUUCACCGGUUUUCCCCAGGCGUGAUCCGCUCUCUGCACAGCCUGGGGCGGCUGGACCACGUGUACUGCACGGAGACGCGGCCCUACAACCAGGGAGCCCGGCUCACCGCCUACGAGCUGGUGUACGAGAAGAUUCCCGCCACCCUGAUCGCCGACAGCAUGGUCUCCGUGGCCAUGGCCCGGAGAGGCGUGUCAGCUGUCGUCGUGGGAGCGGAUCGCGUAGUAGCCAACGGUGACACGGCCAACAAGGUGGGCACCUACCAGCUGGCCAUUGCCGCCAAGCACCACGGAAUCCCGUUCUACGUGGCGGCCCCCAGCACCUCGUGUGACCCGAGCCUGCCCUCGGGCAGGGAAAUCGUCAUCGAGGAACGGCCCGAGCGGGAGUUGACGGACCUCAAUGGCGUCAGGAUCGCCGCGCCGGGGAUCGGGGUCUGGAAUCCAGCCUUCGACGUCACCCCCCACGAACUCAUCUCCGGCGGCAUCGUCACCGAACAAGGCGUCUUUUCCCCCGAGGAGCUGCGGGCGUCUCUGACUUCAGUCGCAUCCUGAGGGGGCUCGAACCCCCUGCGGUAUCUCUGGACGUGGGAGCGAUAGUCGACUGGGUGGUCGUGACCCUCCCCAUUCCCCUUUCCCCAAAGCAUUUUAAUAAUAAACUUCGUUUUGGUUGGAAAAAAAAGGAUCAA